UACGUAGGGGGCAAGCGUUGUCCGGAGUUACUGGGCGUAAAGGGCGCGCAGGCGGUUUGGCAAGUUUGGAGUGACAGUGCUCGGCUCAACUGAGCAAGGCCUCUGAAAACUGCUGGACUUGAGGGCCAGAGAGGGACAUAGAAUUCCGGGUGGAGUGGUGAAAUGCGUAGAUAUCCGGAGGAAUACCAAAGGCGAAGGCAGUGUCCUGGCUGGUACCUGACGCUCAGGCGCGAAAGCUAGGGGAG
rnacentral:rRNA from 1 species